rnacentral:tRNA from 1 species
AGAUCCUCGGGUUGCUAACUCAAUGGUAGAGUACUCGGAGUUCCGGGUUCGAGUCCCGGGCAACCCA